CACCUGCUUGCUGCGCUGACGGUGCUGCUCGUGCUGUCCGACCCCUGCCUCCAUCCCGGCGCUGGGCUGCCAUGGGAAAGCUUCCUCAUGCCCCGGACCUGCAAUUGCCUGAAGCACACCUCCAACUUCAUCCACCCUCGCUUCAUCCGCAGGCUCGAGAAGUUUGAGGCUGGGCCUUACUGCCGGAGGCUGGAGCUCCUUGUCAUCCUGAAAAGCAACCAAAUUGUCUGCGUGGACCCAGAUGCCCAGUGGAUGAAGGAACUGCUCCGUUACAUGGAUCAGAGCAAGCCCUCCCCACUCAGAGGGACCGGACAGGCCAACAAGUCUCCAUGAUGGCUGGGAGGACAGGGGUCGCCCAGCCUGAGGAUAGGACGGAGACCUCGGAAUGUGGGGGUGCCCAGAUGGCCACUGCCAGACUCCCAGAUGCCCUCUGCCAGCGCCUCACCCACACCUAGGCUUGGCCCUUGGCACUUUGAACACCACCCUCUCCCCCCCCAAAUGCCCCCCAUGGUUCUGUCCCAGCCCAGGGUCAGUCCCUCCCUCUGACCGGGGUUGGAGUCCAGCUGAGGGGUCACCCCUGCCAGGCCUGGAGAGACCCAAGAGAUCCCCAACUUCAACUUCCUGAGGAAGAGGCACCCAGAGGCUGAACCUAAACCCCAGCCAACUUCCUGUACCUGGAGCUCAACCAGACACCCAGAGAGGCGGCAGAGGGGCUGACCGGCCUUCGGGCGGUGAGAGGAUGCCGCCAUAUGCCACCCCGACUCCCCUUGCCAACGAUCUCUUAGGUCCCGGGAGCCGAACCCACCAAACCCACCGAGCCCACCCACCGUGCCUGUCCACUCGCAGGCCCGGAAGGUCAAGGGCGGCUCGGGUCUGGGGAGGCCCUGCCUGAGGUGCUCACCGCUCAGGCUUUCCCUGGAAAAGCCCCUUUCCGUGCUGAAGAAUUCCACGGCAAAGCCCUCUCCACCAGGAGCCGCGCUUACUUUCCAGUUGGUUCCUUUAUUUUAAAUCCUUUGUUUGCUUUAGCCCAUUUCAGGACAAAUGGCUAUUGAAACCGGCUCCUGACAGCCGUAUUGGCUUCCCACACCCAGCUCCCCUCUGGAGGGGCGGGUGCAUGAGAGCAGGAUUAGUUGUGUGCUUUCCUCUGGGCAGAGAGGGGCGGGAGGCAGGGUGGCAUUGUGGUUAGGGCAGGGACAAGGCCCGGAGCAGGGCUGGGGUUAGGACAGGGGUAAGGAUGGGGACAGGAGCAAAGAGGUAGGGUCAGGGAUAGGGAUGGGGCACAGUUACCGUAGAAUGGCUUCUCCCUUCUCCUCCUUCCCAAGUCCGAUCCCAGGAAGGGUAGGGGGUGGCCACGGCUCUCUUCCAUUGUUGUGGCCUGUGACCCCCACACGCAGACCCGAAUCCAGAACCUCCUCACCUCUGCGGUCACCGGGACCAGCCACGCACCCAGGGAGCGGCCUCCAAGCAUAGCCCAGCCCACCGGAAGCCCUUAGAUGGCAAGCUCUCCCAUUAGCGUGCGAGCUCCUAGAGGGCCGGACAAGAGUAUUUCGCUUCUGUUGUACUUUUCCAAGCGCUCAGUACAGUAGGUGCUCAAUAAAGGCCAUUGCCACCACUGCUACUAUUUAUUACUACUAUUGUUCAAGAAGGCAGGCAGCAGCCAGCGUUCCUGCUCGGGGGGAUGGAGCAGGGAAUCCCGGGGGGGUUCGAUGAAGAUGGGGAGACCCCCAGGGUGGGACUCGGUCCUGGCUCUUAGGAAGCCCCGUGGAGGGGCGGGAAGCAGGAUCAGGAUCCCAGGCAAUCUAGUCCAGCUCCUGUUCCAGAAAGAACAGCA
rnacentral:lncRNA from 1 species